rnacentral:piRNA from 1 species
UUAUUUGGUGUCUCUGAUCAA